UCCUUUGUGUAACAGGCAGCAAGGAAGGUUUUAACAGGACUGUGUGACCAGUCUAGAUGGAAAUCUCAGAGAUACAGGAGGACUAUGAGGAGGAAGAAAAUCAGGAGGGAACAAGUUGAGUCUUCUUCCUCCAUCCAGGAUUCCAAAACAGGGGGAUGUGGAGAAAGGACACGUAUGCGAAAGCCUGCCGACGUGCACACAGUAUGGAACACAGUUACAGAAAUAGAGUGUCUGAGGCUCGCUCGGCCCGCUGCGCCUUGGGAGAGAAGAUGAACCCCAUUAGGGGAGCCGGGAGAGAAGAAACCAGAUGAAUAUUCAGUGGCUUCUGAUUUCACCGGGCAAGUGCUUACUCUGUGCCCCAGGGGAAUCCCAUGGCCAGCUGUGAAGGCAGGAAGAGGAGAAUGAAGCAUGAAGCCAGCCUCCAGGGCAGCAGCUGAUGCUGAGUAGGUGGGUGAGGGACCGCAGCGUACCUGGCCCUGACCCAGGCUCGACACAGCCGGCUGGCCGCUCACAUCCACCUAUCCAUCCAUCACUCACGUAUACACCCAUUUCUCCCAACUGCUCCUUCUCUUUAAGGAGUUCUCUUUAUAUUAUUUUAAUUUUUUAAGACUGGGUCUCUCUAUGUAGCCUUGGCUCUCCUGGCAGUCUCCAUGCAGAGCAGGCUGGCCUCGAACUCACAGAGAUCUGCCUGCCUUUGCCAACCAAGUGCUGGGGUUAAUGGUGUGUGCCACCAUACCCAGACCAAAGAUUUAUUUUCCCUGCCCCCACACUCCCCGGCUCUGAGGGUCUUACACUUGUUAGGCAAUCAAUCAGUCUAUCACUGAGCUAAAGCCCCAACCCCAAGAUUUCUGUUUUUAUUAAAAAAUAUUAAUUUUA
ensembl:antisense Gm13012 predicted gene 13012